rnacentral:rRNA from 1 species
CCCUUAGAUGUUCUGGGCCGCACGCGCGUUACAAUGAAUCGUUCAACAGGUUUCUUCCUGAGUCGAAAGGCUUGGGUAAUCCUUUAAAUACGGUUCGUGCUAGGGAUAGAUUUUUGCAAUUAUUAAUCUUGAACGAGGAAUAUUUAGUAAACGCAGGUCAUCAGCCUGCAUUGAUUACGUCCCUGCCCUUUGUACACACCGCCCGUCGCACCUACCGAUUGAAUGGUCCGGUGAAAUCUUGGGAUUUUGUUUUGUUUGCAUUUAUUUGUAUCGAGACGAGAGAACUUGAGUAAACCUUACCAUUUAGAGGAAGGUGAAGUCGUAACA